CUGACAGACAGCGUUUUCUUUAUGGGCCGGUCUCGGCUGAAAUAGUUGUACUCGCGGCAGGUCCAUAUAACUCGGUAUAGAUCUAUCGGCCCGAGUUCGUUUCGUAAUAGGCGGGCCCCCAAAUAUCAAGCACUUUUGGGCCGAUUCAGGUUUAAGCGCGCCAACAUCGACUCAAUUUCAGAAUCAGUGAAAAGAUAAUGGGCCAGAGCCGUGUGGACUGUACGGCUGACAGACGGCUUUUUCUGAACGGGCCAAUCACGACUGAAAGCUCGUUAUCUGUUUUCGGCCCGAGCUCGUUUGUCACGGGCGGGCCACUGCUGGAGUUAAGGACUUCAGCCGCCUGAAAAAGAGUUUUGGCGGUUAAAUCCUGAGGAGAAUCCUGCAGUCAACAUUUCAUGAUCGAGAGAAAGGAUCAGCUGCAAAACGCUGCAGUUCAGAGAAACCCUGCUGAAAUGGAGGAUGAGGGGACCAUGAAGAGGUGGCUGCAACUGGCAGCAAAUUGAAAGGGCGGAUGCAUGAACAGAUGGUUGAGAUGACCACAACAGCCCUGAAUGUCAGCAGAGAACAUGACAACUAAACAAGCUCUGGAGACCGAUCCGCUGUGAAGACCUCGUCGACACAACAGUCUACAGCACAGAUCUUCAGCAAAGAUCACGAGAACCAGACGAGACCUUUGCAAGGCCACUUCAACUUCUCUUCCCUCUACAUAUGCCAUUGUGCUGUGUUCGAUCCUCAAGCUGAAUGAUAUCAGUCCACAAUCUAACUUCUGAUGCAGCUGAAUCAUAAUCACACUGUGUUUGUUUGGCCAGAGGAAAACUGGCCCUCGACUGAGUCUGGUUUCUCCCAGGGUUUUUUCUUCAUUCUGUCUUCUGAUGGAGUUUGGGUUCUUGUCACUAUCGCCUCUGGCUUGCUUAGUUGGACACCUACUUUUCAAUAAUAUUGAUGACUGCAUUGACACUAUUGGAUGAGAACUCAACAGAGCUGGAUUAUGACAUUACUGUUUUCUGCAGAACUGCUUUAUAGCUGAAUUGAACUCAUUGAACUGAACUGAAACAACACUGAAAUGACUUCAGCUGAACAAUCACACUGUCUUUUGCUCCAUUACAGUAUUUAAUUCUGUUUGCAUAAUUGAAUUCACUAUUUUCCAGUUUAUCACUGUAAAGCUUCUUUGAAACAAACUGUAAUGUAGGU